rnacentral:rRNA from 1 species
CGGGGCGUCAUAGAGGGUGAGAAUCCCGUAUGUGACCGGCGAUCAGGCUCAUGUGAAAUUCCUUCGACGAGUCGAGUUGUUUGGGAAUGCAGCUCAAAAUGGGUGGUAAAUUUCAUCUAAAGCUAAAUACCGGCCAGAGACCGAUAGCGCACAAGUAKAGUGAUCGAAAGAUGAAAAGCACUUUGGAAAGAGAGUCAAACAGUACGUGAAAUUGUUGAAAGGGAAGCGCUUGCGACCAGACCUGCUUGCGAGCGAUCAGCCGUCCUUCUGGGCGGUGCACUCGCCCGUAGACAGGCCAGCAUCGGUUUCGGCGGCCGGAUAAAGACCUCGGGAAUGUGGCUUCUCUCGGGGAGUGUUAUAGCCCGUGGCGCAAUGCGGCCCGCCGGGACCGAGGACCGCGCUUCGGCUAGGAUGCUGGCGUAAUGGUCGUAAGCGGCCCGUCUUGAAACACGGACCAAGGAGUCUAACAUCUAUGCGAGUGUUUGGGUGUCAAACCCAUGCGCGGAAUGAAAGUGAACGGAGGUGGGAACCCG